ACUUAGAUAGUUUAAAUAGAAUAUAACGUUGAAAGCGUUAAGGUGUUUACUCUGAGUG
rnacentral:tRNA from 1 species